GGAAGCUGGUUGGAGUUGAUGGGAAGAAGGAUGGAGCUAAAUACUGGGCUAUCCGGAAGGAAAACCUUUUAGGGACUCUGGAAGAAAACUUGAGAUCCAGAUGUUGGACUCUCGCUGCAGAUGUGCUUCCAUGCAGGCCAAGAAAUCCUAACUAGAGUUGUGCACACACGUGAAACUGAGCUUGGACAAUUGACAUGAACUCAUAACUUGGAAAAAAGAAAGGCACAUUCACCGACCUACGGCUGCAUCUGGCCUUUGAUGACCUACUCGUGAUGCUGCUGUGAGUGGAGUGACCCGACUGUACUCAUUAAAACCAAUGGGACGGAUCAUUCUCCACUAAUUGUUUUCCACUGACAAAUGGUUCCUCCGACUCUCAGACUGCUGCAGGGGCCGCCGUGCAGCUCCAACACGCCAACUUUACUAAUGAGAACUGCCGAUAAGGGACGCCCCUCUGCACCCUCACACCCCCUCCCCGUCCACACUACCUGGCACUAAUCCAUCAGAGGGGCAGUCAGGCUGUGCGCCGCCCCACAACCACCCAUCCCUGAUACCCGCCAGUGCCCAGUGCUUCAGCAGAGGCCCCAGCUGGGGGACCGCCACAGCUUGGUCAUUAUCAGAUGACGGAUAGCUUCAUAUCAGAUUCAUGAGAAUUUUUCUCUCUAAAUCACUUGGGAGAAUCUCAGAAAACCGAUGUCACCUUGGAUGAGACUCUCAAGAAAGAAUCUGCUCCCUGGUGCACCCUCAGUUUUUUUUUUUUUUCUUGAUAAUGAGUUUUCUGACCAAUUCAAUGUCCUGAGGAAUUUACCCUUCCAAGAAUGCUCUCAAGUAAAGGUCUUCAAUUCCA